rnacentral:lncRNA from 1 species
AUGAGAAAGCAGCAGAACUUUCUGCUCUCACGAAAAACCUUGAAGAUUACAAAAGUGAAUCUAUUCAGCUGAAGGAGAAAUUGGGUCAGAGGGAAGUGGAAUGCUCAGCUCUGUCUGAGAUGCAUGAGCUGCAUAAGAGUAAAACAUUGGCUCAAAUUACGGGAUUAGAGGCUGCUGUGGCAGGGCUGGAACUGGAGCUGGAAUCUUUGCGAGGUCAGAAAACAGAUAUAGAAGUUGAGAUUGAGAACAAAGAAACUCAAGUGAAACAACUAGCAGAAGAGAACGCGGGACUGCAAGCCCGAAUUUCACAACUUGAAUCAAUAUCAAAUGAGAGAGAAGCCGAAUUUUCUUCCCUGGCAAAGAAAUUUGAGGACAGCAGUAAUGAAUAUGGUCAGCUACAGGAGAAACUGGGUCAGAGGGAAGUGGAACACUCAACUCUGUCUGAGAUGCAUGAGCUGCAUAAGAGUAAAACAUUGGCUCAAAUUACAGGUUUAGAGGCUGCUGUGGCAGGGCUGGAACUGGAGCUGGAAUCUUUGCGAGAUCAGAAAAAAGAUAUAGAAGUUGAGAUUGAGAAGAAAGAAACUCAAGUGAAACAACUAGCCGAAGAGAAUGCGGGAUUGCAAGCCCAAACUUCAGAACUUGAAUCAAUAUCAAAUGAGAGAGAAGCUGAACUUUCUGCUCUCACCAAAAAACUUGGGGAGAUCAAUGGUGAAUCUAUUCAGCAGAAGGAGCAAUUGGAUCAGAAGGAAAAGGAAUACUCAGCUCUGUCUGAGAAGCAUGAGCUGCAUGAGAGUAAAACAUCGGCUCAAAUCCUGGGAUUAGAGGCUGCUGUGGCAGGGCUGGAACUGGAGCUAAGAUCUUUGCGAGGUCAGAAAGAAGAUAUAGAUGUUGAGAUUGAGAACAAAGAAACUCAAGUGAAACAACUAGCAGAAGAGAAUGUGGGACUGCAAGCCCGAAUUUCACAACUUGAAUCAAUAUCAAAUGAGAGAGAAGCCGAAUUUUCUUCCCUGGAGAAGAAAUUUGAGGACAGCAGUAAUGAAUAUGGUCGGCUGCAGGAAAAACUGGGUCAGAGGGAAGUGGAACACUCAACUCUGUCUGAGAUGCAUGAGCUGCAUAAGAGUAAAACAUUGGCUCAAAUUACGGGAUUAGAGGCUGCUGUGGCAGGGCUGGAACUGGAGCUGGAAUCUUUGCGAGAUCAGAAAAAAGAUAUAGAAGUUGAGAUUGAGAAGAAAGAAACUCAAGUGAAACAACUAGCCGAAGAGAAUGCGGGAUUGCAAGCCCAAACUUCAGAACUUGAAUCAAUAUCAAAUGAGAGAGAAGCUGAACUUUCUCUCACCAAAAAACUUGAGGAGAUCAAUAGUGAAUCUAUUCAGCUGAAGGAGCAAUUGGAUCAGAAGGAAAGGGAAUACUCAGCUCUGUCUGAGAAGCAUGAGCUGCAUGAGAGUAAAACAUCGGCUCAAAUCCUGGGAUUAGAGGCUGCUGUGGCAGGGCUGGAACUGGAGCUGAGAUCUUUGCGAGGUCAGAAAGAAGAUAUAGAUGUUGAGAUUGAGAACAAAGAAACUCAAGUGAAACAACUAGCAGAAGAGAAUGUGGGACUGCAAGCCCGAAUUUCACAACUUGAAUCAAUAUCAAAUGAGAGAGAAGCCGAAUUUUCUUCCCUGGCGAAGAAAUUUGAGGACAGCAGUAAUGAAUAUGGUCGGCUGCAGGAAAAACUGGGUCAGAGGGAAGUGGAACACUCAACUCUGUCUGAGAUGCAUGAGCUGCAUAAGAGUAAAACUUUGGCUCAAAUUACAGGUUUAGAGGCUGCUGUGGCAGGGCUGGAACUGGAGCUGGAUCUUUGAGAGGUCAGAAAAAAAGAUAUAGAAGUUGAGAUUGAGAAGAAAGAAACUCAAGUGAAACAACUAGCCGAAGAUAAUGCGGGAUUGCAAGCCCAAACUUCAGAACUUGUAUCAAUAUCAAAUGAGAGAGAAGCUGAACGUUCUGCUCUCACCACAAAACUUGAGGAGAUCAAUAGUGAAUCUAUUCAGCUGAAGGAGCAAUUGGAUCAGAAGGAAAAGGAAUACUCAGCUCUGUCUGAGAAGCAUGAGCUGCAUGAGAGUAAAACAUCGGCUCAAAUCCUGGGAUUAGAGGCUGCUGUGGCAGGGCUGGAACUGGAGCUGAGAUCUUUGCGAGGUCAGAAAGAAGAUAUAGAUGUUGAGAUUGAGAACAAAGAAACUCAAGUAAAACAACUAGCAGAAGAGAAUGUGGGACUGCAAGCCCGAAUUUCACAACUUGAAUCAAUAUCAAAUGAGAGAGAAGCCGAAUUUUCUUCCCUGGCGAAGAAAUUUGAGGACAGCAGUAAUGAAUAUGGUCGGCUGCAGGAAAAACUGGGUCAGAGGGAAGUGGAACACUCAACUCUGUCUGAGAUGCAUGAGCUGCAUAAGAGUAAAACUUUGGCUCAAAUUACAGGUUUAGAGGCUGCUGUGGCAGGGCUGGAACUGGAGCUGGAAUCUUUGAGAGGUCAGAAAAAAGAUAUAGAAGUUGAGAUUGAGAAGAAAGAAACUCAAGUGAAACAACUAGCCGAAGAUAAUGCGGGAUUGCAAGCCCAAACUUCAGAACUUGUAUCAAUAUCAAAUGAGAGAGAAGCUGAACGUUCUGCUCUCACCACAAAACUUGAGGAGAUCAAUAGUGAAUCUAUUCAGCUGAAGGAGCAAUUGGAUCAGAAGGAAAAGGAAUACUCAGCUCUGUCUGAGAAGCAUGAGCUGCAUGAGAGUAAAACAUCGGCUCAAAUCCUGGGAUUAGAGGCUGCUGUGGCAGGGCUGGAACUGGAGCUGAGAUCUUUGCGAGGUCAGAAAGAAGAUAUAGAUGUUGAGAUUGAGAACAAAGAAACUCAAGUAAAACAACUAGCAGAAGAGAAUGUGGGACUGCAAGCCCGAAUUUCACAACUUGAAUCAAUAUCAAAUGAGAGAGAAGCCGAAUUUUCUUCCCUGGCGAAGAAAUUUGAGGACAGCAGUAAUGAAUAUGGUCGGCUACAGGAAAAACUGGGUCAGAGGGAAGUGGAACACUCAACUCUGUCUGAGAUGCAUGAGCUGCAUAAGAGUAAAACUUUGGCUCAAAUUACAGGUUUAGAGGCUGCUGUGGCAGGGCUGGAACUGGAGCUGGAAUCUUUGCGAGAUCAGAAAAAAGAUAUAGAAGUUGAGAUUGAGAAGAAAGAAACUCAAGUGAAACAACUAGCCGAAGAGAAUGCGGGAUUGCAAGCCCAAACUUCAGAACUUGUAUCAAUAUCAAAUGAGAGAGAAGCUGAACUUUCUGCUCUCACCAAAAAACUUGAGGAGAUCAAUAGUGAAUCUAUUCAGCUGAAGGAGAAAUUGGGUCAGAGGGAAGUGGAAUACUCAGCUCUGUCUGAGAUGCAUGAGCUGCAUAAGAGUAAAACAUUUGCUCAAAUUACGGGAUUAGAGGCUGCUGUGGCAGGGCUGGAACUGGAGCUGGAAUCUUUGCGAGGUCAGAAAACAGAUAUCGAAGUUGAGAUUGAGAACAAAG